AGACUGAGGGUCAGGGGAGAGGGAGUCACAGAUAAUGGAGGGUAAGGUGUGAAAAUGAGAGAUCAAAGGGGACGAAGCUCAAGGAAAAUGUAGAAUAAAUCAUUGUAUGCUAGGGGAAAGUGACAAUGAGGUGUACAAAGUAAUAUUUAAUCAGGAGGAUAGUCAGACAGGUCAG